AAGGUUUUUGGCUGUUUUUUGAAUAG
rnacentral:piRNA from 1 species